rnacentral:tRNA from 1 species
GCCUGGCUGGCUCAGUUGGUAGAGCACGCAACUCUUGAUCUCAGGUUCAUGAGUUUAAAUCCCAUGUUGAGCA